AUUGAACGCUGGCGGCAGGCCUAACACAUGCAAGUCGAACGAGUGGCGGACGGGUGAGUAAUGUCUGGGAAACUGCCUGAUGGAGGGGGAUAACUACUGGAAACGGUAGCUAAUACCGCAUACCAUCAGAUGUGCCCAGAUGGGAUUAGCUGGUUGGUGGGGUAACGGCUCACCAAGGCGACGAUCCCUAGCUGGUCGGAGAGGAUGACCAGCCACACGGGAACGAGGAACCGGUCCAUAAUCCUACGGGAGGCAGCAGUUGGGAAUAUUGCACAAUGGGCGCAGGCCUGAUGCAGCAAUGCCGCGUGUAUGAAGAAGGCCUUCGGGUUGUAAAGUACUUUCAGCGGGGAGGCGUUACCCGCAGAAGAAGCACCGGCUAACUCCGUGCCAGCAGCCGCGGUAAUUC
rnacentral:rRNA from 1 species